UAACCUGCCCUUAACUCUGGGAUAAGCCUGGGAAACUGGGUCUAAUACCGGAUAGGAGCGUCCACCGCAUGGUGGGUGUUGGAAAGAUUUAUCGGUUUUGGAUGGACUCGCGGCCUAUCAGCUUGUUGGUGAGGUAAUGGCUCACCAAGGCGACGACGGGUAGCCGGCCUGAGAGGGUGACCGGCCACACUGGGACUGAGACACGGCCCAGACUCCUACGGGAGGCAGCAGUGGGGAAUAUUGCACAAUGGGCGCAAGCCUGAUGCAGCGACGCCGCGUGAGGGAUGACGGCCUUCGGGUUGUAAACCUCUUUCAGUAGGGAAGAAGCGAAAGUGACGGUACCUGCAGAAGAAGCACCGGCUAACUACGUGCCAGCAGCCGCGGUAAUACGUAGGGUGCGAGCGUUAUCCGGAAUUAUUGGGCGUAAAGAGCUCGUAGGCGGUUUGUCGCGUCUGUCGUGAAAGUCCGGGGCUUAACCCCGGAUCUGCGGUGGGUACGGGCAGACUAGAGUGCAGUAGGGGAGACUGGAAUUCCUGGUGUAGCGGUGGAAUGCGCAGAUAUCAGGAGGAACACCGAUGGCGAAGGCAGGUCUCUGGGCUGUAACUGACGCUGAGGAGCGAAAGCAUGGGGAGCGAACAGGAUUAGAUACCCUGGUAGUCCAUGCCGUAAACGUUGGGCACUAGGUGUGGGGACCAUUCCACGGUUUCCGCGCCGCAGCUAACGCAUUAAGUGCCCCGCCUGGGGAGUACGGCCGCAAGGCUAAAACUCAAAGGAAUUGACGGGGGCCCGCACAAGCGGCGGAGCAUGCGGAUUAAUUCGAUGCAACGCGAAGAACCUUACCAAGGCUUGACAUGUUCUCGAUCGCCGUAGAGAUACGGUUUCCCCUUUGGGGCGGGUUCACAGGUGGUGCAUGGUUGUCGUCAGCUCGUGUCGUGAGAUGUUGGGUUAAGUCCCGCAACGAGCGCAACCCUCGUUCCAUGUUGCCAGCACGUAAUGGUGGGGACUCAUGGGAGACUGCCGGGGUCAACUCGGAGGAAGGUGAGGACGACGUCAAAUCAUCAUGCCCCUUAUGUCUUGGGCUUCACGCAUGCUACAAUGGCCGGUACAAUGGGUUGCGAUACUGUGAGGUGGAGCUAAUCCCAAAAAGCCGGUCUCAGUUCGGAUUGGGGUCUGCAACUCGACCCCAUGAAGUCGGA
rnacentral:rRNA from 1 species